rnacentral:rRNA from 1 species
AACGAACGCUGGCGGCAUGCCUAACACAUGCAAGUCGAGCGAAGCCUUCGGGCUUAGUGGCGCACGGGUGCGUAACGCGUGGGAAUCUGCCCUUUGGUUCGGAAUAACAGUUGGAAACGACUGCUAAUACCGGAUGAUGACGAAAGUCCAAAGAUUUAUCGCAGAGGAUGAGCCCGCGUAGGAUUAGCUAGUUGGUGUGGUAAAGGCGCACCAAGGCGACGAUCCUUAGCUGGUCUGAGAGGAUGAUCAGCCACACUGGGACUGAGACACGGCCCAGACUCCUACGGGAGGCAGCAAUGGGGAAUAUUGGACAAUGGGCGAAAGCCUGAUCCAGCAAUGCCGCGUGAGUGAUGAAGGCCCUAGGGUUGUAAAGCUCUUUUACCCGGGAUGAUAAUGACAGUACCGGGAGAAUAAGCCCCGGCUAACUCCGUGCCAGCCGCCGCAGUAA